rnacentral:rRNA from 1 species
ACGUCAAGUCAUCAUGGCCCUUACGAGUGGGGCUAGAAACGUGCUACAAUGGCUACUACAAUCGGCAACGACGUCGCGAGGCGAAGUGAAUCUGAAAAAGUAGUCUCAGUUCGGAUUGUUCUCUGCAACUCGAGAGCAUGAAGUUGGAAUCGCUAGUAAUCGUGUAUCAGCAUGGCACGGUGAAUAUGUUCCCGGGUCUU